GGCGGUUCUUGGGUGAUGCACCCCAGAAUUGGGCUCCUUCCUCUCUGGUUCCAGGGUUGGUCAUCCAAGAACCCCU
rfam:Myotis brandtii contig167081, whole genome shotgun sequence.